rnacentral:pre_miRNA from 1 species
AGUGGGAUAGCUGGGUCAAAAGGUGACCAUUCCCAGUUUUCCAAGGAUUCUCCAUACUGCUUUCCAAAGUGGCUGCACCAAUUUGCAGUCCCACCAGCAAU